rnacentral:rRNA from 1 species
GGAGUUUGGACCGUGUCUCAGUUCCAAUGUGGGGGACCUUCCUCUCAGAACCCCUACCGAUCGUCGCCUUGGUGGGCCGUUACCCCGCCAACUGCCUAAUCCAACGCGGGUCCAUCUCACACCACCGGAGUUUUUCACACAUAGCCAUGCGGCUUCGUGCGCUUAUGCGGUAUUAGCAGUCGUUUCCAACUGUUGUCCCCCAGUGUGAGGCAGGUUACCCACGCGUUACUCACCCGUCCGCCACUAAGUCAAAGGAAAAUCCGUCCGAAAACUUCAUUCCCAGUGCUUCGUUCGACUUGCAUGUGUUAAGCACGCCGCCAGCGUUCAUC